AGAGUGCCCCGGCGUCUUUCUAGCCUCCGCCUCCAGGCGGGUGAGGAGGUGACACCUGAGAAUUCCUCCCUCUCACCCCUGACCCUGCCGGAAAGCGAAACUGAGAUGCGGGCAUUGGGCCCUGGGAAGCGUGGGGAAGGGGAAAGGAGAAAGCCAGGUGGGUUUUUAGGUCCCUUCCAGUGCCACACUGCGGGGCGUUGAGGGGCCGCUCGAGGCAGGCCCUUCCAUGAGGCCUGGACUGGAGGCCUUCUCUAGCCGCCGGCGCUGGCCUGGGCCGCCUGCCGCCACGCAGGGGCCGCGCGCCUGGGCCCCAGGGCCCCUUUGCCGGCGGGAGGCCGGGGGGACCGACUGCUCUUGGCGCCCGGGGUCGGGGGAGGCCGGGAAACCUCGGCUCCCGGGCGACAGGCACCCAGGCCCUUCUCAGCCCCCCGGCCGCGGCCGCGCCGGGCCUCGCUUCAGCCGGGCGAUUCUUCCCCUCAUUUGUUGCAUUGUUUGCAUUAAUAUGAAUAUCUUGUUCUGUUUGUUUUGUCUCCUGAGAGCCAAUAAAGCUGUGAGUUUUUUCAUUACACCAAAUGCAGCUCUACGGGCGAUCAAUCAAUGGGUAGUCUUCGGAUAAUCUGUGAGAGUGAGAAAUCUAAUAAAGCUAGCGACUAAAAAAGGAAAACAAAAUCUAUUUUUCUCUUAGGUUAACUACGUCAGGAUUAAUGUGUUCCACUUCUGCUGCCUGAGAAAAUGGAGAAAUUAAGUCCUUUCCAUGGAUCAUUCCUUCUGUAAACAGAGAUCACAAAGCAAGAGCUUCAGCAUCCUCGUGAAAAAGACAUUUUGUUCUGGGUGUCAUCAUCUCCUUCCACUACAGCUUGCAAUUGGAACAAGCUUCACAUCCUGGGGGUGCUGCCUAUCUCUGUCUUGAUUUCUGUCUGUCUAUUCCUCCCAUUGACAGGAAUGUCGUUUGUAUCCUCCACGCAGCAGUUUGCAGAAAUCCAGCAAGGUUUAUGGUUUAUGUUGCCCAGCAUGUAUAAACACAACGCUCUCAAAUGCUUUUUAAAAAUCUAUGAAUUUGUUAGAUGUCUUCACAUCCUGGUCCUCCUACCCCAAUUCUCAAACACAAAGUACUCUGUUGCCCUAUUAUAGUCCUGCGAUAGUUCUGGCUAGGAUUAGGUUGACGGUCUAAGCCCCAAGAAAGGCCUGGCAUUUUCAUAGCAGGCUUUCCCCAGUGCUUUGAGUCUUCCUCUCUCACUCCCUUUUUCUUUUUCCCUCGGAGGAGGGGGUGUUGGGGGUGGGAGGUGAUUAGUAAAUGUUUCAGGUAAUCUGUGAAUUCUUAAUAGUCAUAUUUCCGUGGUGGAAGAUCUCCCUAUUUCUCUGAUGUGACAGGUUACAGAAACCUUGGUGUUGGGGGUUUUACAGAUAUUUACAAGUUCUAGGAGUUUGAACUUUGGGUCAAGAUGUUGAUUCCUUUUAAUGUGCGAGGGUGAAGGAGGUUUUAUUUUGCUUUAUUCUUUUGGAUAUUAUGAGAUGAGAUUGUAUCCAGUCUUGGCUGUAACCUAUACCAUAAAUGCAGAGCUGCAACCAUUAUUUCUGUCUCUUUCUCCUUUUAUCACCUACACUUCUAGAGAUAUUACUUUCAGUUUUAUUGCAAAUCAUCUGUGUCUUUAGUUUAAACCAUUAUUUUUCAUAUACCCCAGGCACAUUUCCCUUAUAAUGAGACAAAUUUUAGAUUAUUAAUGUUCCACCUAAAAGGAUACUGUACACUUUUCAUUGCCAAUAUGGGCUUUGAAGCUUAAAUAUCAACAUUUUUAUAGGAAAUUUACCCAUGUCAAAUUUAAAUAUAUUUGCUUAUAUUUCUUGGAAAAAAGAUUUUGGAUAACUAUCAAUUAAGCAGCCAAUUCCAUUUGGGGUGCAGAAAAUUUUGAGCCCCUUGAUAAGAAGGAACAAAAUUUUUCCUCUAAAUAACCAACUCUGGAUCAGAAAAACUGAACUUUUCUAAAUAUUUAUUAUUAACAAAACUUUUUUUUGUCUGAUUCCACUAGAAGCAUUCUAUGUUGUGAACACUAUAAAGUUAUCCUAUGUUGUGAACACCAUAAAGUUAUGAGGGAAAAAAUGUCAAAUCUAAAUUUUAUUUAGAAGUAACAUAUUGUUUUUCUGGACUUGCAAUCCAAUUCGAAUGCAUCGUUAGACUUUUCUGUUUUCUUAUGAUUAAACAACAAUGGCUUAAAAUGAUAGCAAGUCAACUGAAAAGUUGCUUUGGAAUAAAACAAAAGUGGGAAUGCCAACUUUCUUUUCUUCUCUAUAA
rnacentral:lncRNA from 1 species